CUGGAGAGAACGAGGGAGAAGGAGGAGGACACACCCCGGGGCCAAAAGCCAGGCAGCCGCCAGCCAAGCAUAGCAACAGCAGGAAGGCGAGAUAUAUAGAAGGAGAGAAAGCACCGAGAGCUCCAGGAAAGCAGGGCCCUUACCCUCCUGUGAUCUGACCCCAAGCCGAUGUGGUUUGCAUCUGGGAAACUCAAUCCCCAGUCAGCCUCUUGGGAGUGGACAUGGGACCUGUUGUGUUGACGCUGCUAAUGUAUAUGGAUGUUUUGCCUAUAUGUAUGCCUAUGCACCAUGUAUAUGCAGUGCCUGCAGAGGCCAGAAGAGGGCACCAGAUCCCCUGGAACUGGAGUGACAGACUGU
rnacentral:lncRNA from 1 species